CCCCAAAACCCGAAUGUUUAUAUUUGUCGUAUGUCCAUAUAAGACACAUCAUGAAAUAAAUAACUAGGCUAAUUAACCUAGUUAAGUAUAUGGCAAAACUAUUAAAUGGAGAGAGUUGUGCCAAAUGUGUUCUAAGUGCCAACAUGAGGGACUAAUUGAAGUAAAAUGGAAGUUGAGUUAUUAAAAUGAAAAAUAAACACACACAAACACACAAUUCGUGUGUGUUCUCGAACGUACAGGGGCUUCAAGAAGCCAAGCCCUAGUUGGCUAGUUCUUCAAAAAAGCUUCAAAUUAAGGGAUGAUUCAAGGCUCAAAUUCGUGAAUUCUCAUGGAUUAAUGAUCACCAUCACAAGGGGAUCAUAAGGAACGUGUCAAGGAGAGCUCAAGCAUAGGAGGAUAACGGGUCAAGAUAAGGCAAGGUCACAAAUACACUUAUUGGAGCACUCAAGGUAAGUGAUUUCUAUAAUCACUUCUUAUUUUAUUUAAGUAAAGUAGCGUUAGUUGAUUAAGCAUGAUGGGGUUUGAAGUUUCAUAUGGUUUUGGUCGUAUGAAAUUGGUAAUUUUAGCUUAGUAGACCGAAUGGGACAAUAUAAAGUUGUAAUGCUAUGACGAAUAAUGUCUAUGUAAUGGCUACGGUAUGUAACCGGGUAAUGGGUAAAAUUGCACAUAAGUGCACCAACCGAGAAUGGGGACUUAGGUUAAUGGGUCAAAGUGAAGGUAUACUUUAGCACGGAACGUUUGUACAAGCAAUGUCGAUAGUAUUUCAUGUGCCCGGUUAGUGUAAGGUGUUAUAACAUUAACAUUAUGUGAGCCUUAAGUGUAAACAUAUGAGUUGUUGAUAAAUGCAUGACGGGUCGAAUAAUUCGUAAUGGAUAAUAAGCCGAAAAUGUAUAAGUUAAGAAUUUCCUUAACCCGGAUGUUGGACUUUAAGUUCACAUAAUAGAAUGUUAGUUUAUAAUCAUGCAGGAAGAAACGGGAGGUUAAUCGGGUAAACGGUUUAAAAGCUAUGCAAGUUUUUGUGCGUGCGAACGACAAAACAACACAGCAGAAAAAUGGCAAAACUAGAGGCCGUCGCUGACGCCCCUAUGGGCCGUCGCCGACGCCUUGUGCAUUUUCAGUUUUCUCCGACGCCUAAUUUUCCUGUCUACGGAGGUUUCUGGCUACGCGAAAAACUAAUAGCCGUCGCCGACGCCCUAUAGGGCCGUCGCCGACGGCCUCCACAUGUUUUAAAUGCUGAAAUUCGUUAAUUAAGUUAUUUUGUGUACCGUAAGCUUCGGUAUAUUAACCGUGGUCUACGACGGGCCUCCCAAGCAUAAUUUUGAAUGUUUCCUUGAUGCUUUUGGAUCAUAAAUCCAAGUCUAAGCACUCCAUAAUUAAUGUACGAGUAUGAUAAGUGAAUGCGAAUAGGUUAAAUCAAGAAUUGAAUGUAAGUACGUAUGUGUAGACAUGAUUAUGUAAGCAUUUAGUUAUGUAUAUAGAUAAGUAGAUGUGUAGAUAUGUAGGUGCGUAUGAUUAGACGUAUGAAUAUACGAAUGCACGAAGUAGGAUUUAUCGCCUAUGAAAAGAAUGGGACAGGUAUGCAUGUAUACAUGGUUUCAAUACGUUUGAGUAUGGACAUUACUAAUGAUGUGCUUGAGAUUGGAAUGUAAUGCAGGGAUGAGAACGUCAGACUCUUGUAGAAUUAAAGCCGAACCUGGAAGCCGAACUCGAAACAAAGGAAUCCGAGAGGAUAGUCGAAUGAAUUAAAGUUUAUGUUGUUGAAUGUUAUAUGAUUUUUAAUUGUACCAGAUUAUUGUUGUAUGAUGUUGUCAAUGACUAAUGGUUAAGUUGUAUGUGAUGUCCACAGGUACUACACGGAUUUCUUCUACCACUAUCGAAGAUAAGCGGGCAUAGAUCGAGUCGAAUAACAAGGAUUGUACGGAAAGAACGGUUACGUAGUCUUAAUUUUGUAACACAUUAAUUUGUAAAAAGGGAAGUGAAUUUUGUAAGCUUCUUGAAUGUGUGUAUUAUUUUAAGAUCGUAAAGGAAUUUUUAAAGCUAUU